rnacentral:tRNA from 1 species
ACACCGAAGUAAAAAAUUACAUUUAGUUUCGACCUAAAAUUAAGGAAUAACCAAUCCUCAUGUU